rnacentral:lncRNA from 1 species
AAAAAUGAUAUAGUUUUUUGAAAAAGAGUAUUUCAAAAAAUCUCAAUAUAUGUCAUUCAACAAUCAAACCAUACUAGGGUCAUAACUUUGGUAAAAAUUUCACCUGAAGAAAAAAUAUAAAUUAGAAAACUUAUGGGACACAAACCUAACCUAGAAGCAAAAACUGGAAAAGGAAAAGAAAAAAGUAAUAGAAAAACAGGUUUUUCAUAUUCUAUAUUGUCGAUGAAAUGUACCGUUCCAUUUUUAUUAAAAGAACGUUAGGUAAAAAGUUCAA